rnacentral:rRNA from 1 species
CAGGGAGGAAUCAAUGACGUGUACCUGAAGAAUAAGCAUCGGCUAACUCCGUGCCAGCAGCCGCGGUAAGACGGGGGAUGCAAGUGUUAUCCGGAAUCACUGGGCGUAAAGCGUCUGUAGGUGGUCCAAUAAGUCAACUGUUAAAUCUUGAGGCUCAACCUCAAAAUCGCAGUCGAAACUAUUAGACUAGAGUAUAGUAGGGGUAAAGGGAAUUUCCAGUGGAGCGGUGAAAUGCGUAGAGAUUGGAAAGAACACCGAUGGCGAAGGCACUUUACUGGGCUAUUACUAACACUCAGAGACGAAAGCUAGGGUAGCAAAUGGGAUUAGAUACCCCAGUAGUCCUAGCC